rnacentral:rRNA from 1 species
GCAAGUCGAACGGCAGCAUAGGAGCUUGCUCCUGAUGGCGAGUGGCGAACGGGUGAGUAAUAUAUCGGAACGUACCCUAGAGUGGGGGAUAACGCAGCGAAAGUUGCGCUAAUACCGCAUACGAUCUACGGAUGAAAGUGGGGGAUCGCAAGACCUCAUGCUCAUGGAGCGGCCGAUAUCUGAUUAGCUAGUUGGCGGGGUAAAAGCCUACCAAGGCAUCGAUCAGUAGCUGGUCUGAGAGGACGACCAGCCACACUGGAACUGAGACACGGUCCAGACUCCUACGGGAGGCAGCAGUGGGGAAUUUUGGACAAUGGGGGCAACCCUGAUCCAGCAAUGCCGCGUGAGUGAAGAAGGCCUUCGGGUUGUAAAGCUCUUUUGUCAGGGAAGAAACGGUGAGCUCUAAUACAGUUUGCUAAUGACGGUACCUGAAGAAUAAGCACCGGCUAACUACGUGCCAGCAGCCGCGGUAAUACGUAGGGUGCAAGCGUUAACCGGAAUUACUGGGCGUAAAGCGUGCGCAGGCGGUUAUGUAAGUCAGAUGUGAAAUCCCCGGGCUCAACCUGGGAAUGGCAUUUGAGACUGCAUGGCUAGAGUGUGUCAGAGGGGGGUAGAAUUCCACGUGUAGCAGUGAAAUGCGUAGAGAUGUGGAGGAAUACCGAUGGCGAAGGCAGCCCCCUGGGAUAACACUGACGCU